rnacentral:tRNA from 1 species
GGGGUUGUGGCUCAGAGGUAGAGUGCUUGCCUAGCAUGCAUGAGCACUGAGUUCAGUCCUCGGCCCCA